AUAUACUUAUAUUGAUUUUGUACACAGUUAGCACACUUUAUAUUAUCGAGAAAGAUUAGACAAAACUAAUCACUUGAUUAACUCUAAUCACUUUCAUCAAUCACAGCACAUUUUAUACCCACAUGUUUCUUUUUAUCCACCUAGUUGAGGGAUUGAAAGAUAAAAAGCAUCAUAAUAAGAGGUAGAAAUAUACAAAUCGCAAGGAAGAUGAAGGAAAGAAAGUGACCUCUCCGAUAUGUCAAGGAAAACACAAGACUUGUUCAACUAUGACGACUCAUUUCAAAUCCAUGGAACAUUUCAUCCCGAUAUCUCUUGGCCUUGUGAUAGUAGAGCAUCCAAAGAGGGUCCCCUCAAACAAUAGCAGGCAAAGACAAAAGACAAACCGGAAAAUGAAAACAGGUCGAAGGGGAUGAGCACAGGAAGCGACAGCAAUGGCAAGCGGCUUUGGGAAGUAACAACAGCCAUAUAAUGUAUGUUUGCGUAAGCCUUCAUAAUAUCUUACUAAUAUUUGUGGAUCAUUCUCUGUGACUUUAGACGCCACCAAGUA
rnacentral:lncRNA from 1 species